GUCUUUGUGGCUCAGUUGGCUAGAGCGUUGGUCUCAUACCAUAAGUAUGACUCGAUUCAUAAGAAUUGGGAUAUCCAAAGGUCGUGAGUUCGAGCCUCACCAAGGACA